AUUACUCUGUGUUAGAAUAUCUCCCAGUGUCCCAAGAACUCUAACCAGGGGGCAUAUCUGCCCAUCAAGCCCUUGAUCAUGCCUGGGUGAGUGAUCUGGCACAGUGUUCUACCCAGUUCUGUCUCACAUACUGCUCUCGUUCCACAGCCAUACUCUGAGGUUCCCAUGACCUUGAUCUCCAUCAAGAGUACAGAUGGGUCUGUGCCAUUCUGCUGUGCUAUUUGGUGGAUAAGACAAUCUGGAAUAUUCUCCCAAUGUGGGUAUCUACACGUUACAAAACCUCACACCCCACACUGGUAUGUGCAUUGCUGAGCCCAUAAAGACAGGAGGAAUGUCGUAAAGACCACAACUUCAAACAAACAAACUGAACUGAAAUCAGAGAGGCUAUGGAAUGAGUAGAAGUUAUCCAGGAGAAGAGGAUGGAGGCCCUAAGGAGAAUCCCGUUUCCAGCCUAGGAAUCAUCCAAUGUGUAGUCCUGAGGCAAGAGGGAACCGGCCUCCUUCAAUGGACAAGCAGAAAGAAGACUGGUGCCAUUCAAAGAUGUCAAAGGCAUCAAGGAGGGUCAAGGUGGAGAAAUGGGCCUAUGAGAUCCAAUCAUACUUGCCAAGAUGUUACUAAGGAGUUGUGUAUGGACCAGUGGAAAGUUUGGUGCAUUCUCUCCACAUGGGCUCACACUGGGGUAGCUGGAGACGAGUGAUGUCAGUCCCAAGCCAUCUCCAUGUGGCAACCAGAGCCCUGGAAGCACAGACCUGACUCUUAGGCUCUCCUGUUGCUCUGCCUCCGGCCUUACGUGCCCAAACGGAAUUGGGGAACAGUGUCUGCUACCAGGAUGCAGAAAAGCAGGUUUUUCUGUUCACCAAGCAAUUCUUCAUUUCAAAGGGUUGGGGAAAGACUUGCAGGAGAAAACUGGAAGAAGCGAACAUUUAUUGAAACAUCAUUGACUGAGUAUGGACCUUGGGUCCAAAGACCCAAGUUUGGACUCAGACCUGUCACUACUUGCUGGGUAGCUGGAGCAAAUCCCUUCUCUUCUCUAAGUAAAAUGAAGAUGGUAAUAGUUACCUUGCAGCAUUGCUGUGUGGGUUGGUGGAGUUCUAGAUGUUAAACCUGCAUCCCAAUUCUCAAAGGCCCAGGAGAAAUGAUACCUAUGUGUUAUUUACAUCUCCUGCAGGGUGAGGGAAGCCAUCAUGUAAAGAGAAAGUAGUGUAAAAUCCACCCUUGAGAGACCUCAAAUCAAGGAACAGCAUAUAUGGUUUUCUGUACACACACACACAGACACAUACAUACACACACACAAAGAAGACUGCUCAGGUUAGUGCCCAUGACACAAAACCCACGUAAGCAAAACCUGCAUUUUUAUACUAGAGUCAUAUUCAUUGUGGAACACGCUCACUUAGAGACACAUGGGAGUCAAGAUGCUCCAAGAAAUGAAAACAAGGAAAUCAUGUCCCAGGCCAUCUUCAUGGAUAUGUAACCUGUGCAGUUACAAAAGGUCCCACACCCACAUUGGCCUUAGCACAAUGUCAUUGCAAUCUAGAAAUUCUUACUAAUUUUUGAACAAGGGGCCUCUCAAUAUCAUUUUAUUCUCCAGGCUCCACAAAUUAUGUAGUAAUCUCUGGUCAUAUCUUUAAAUUAUUUCUCUCCUCCUCCUUAUCCCCACUUUCUAUAGCUGAAGUCACAGAAAAUAAAGGCUUUUAGGUCACUGUGGUGGAUAAGCUCAUGUAAACAGUGUCUUAGUGCACUCUAGGAGACUGGUAUAAUUGUCCCCAUUGGGUGGAUGUAUAAUUUCCUCAAGGUCGCCUGCUUAGUAAGGGGUCAGAUCAGGAUUGGUAUAGUUGUCUACUUUUUCUAUUAUGUCAUGAUGAAUGAGAAAAGCCUGAAAGGUAAUCUGAGCUCAAAAGUAGCAUGUAGUGGCAAAUGUGUAAUAGGAAGACAUUUGAACUAAGCUGACGUGCAGAGGUGGGGGGUAGCGGUCACCAACACAUAACUUAUUUAUGGUAAAUUUCCCCAGACAUAUGCUUGCUUCCUGACAUGGAAUCAGCAGGGUUUUCUUUGCCAUUGUGUUCCCAGCCCCAGCCUAAUGGUUGGUACCUAGAAAGGGGGCUCAAUAAAUA